GACGAACGCUGGCGGCGUGCUUAACACAUGCAAGUCGAACGGAAAGGCCCUGCUUUUGUGGGGUGCUCGAGUGGCGAACGGGUGAGUAACACGUGAGUAACCUGCCCUUGACUUUGGGAUAACUUCAGGAAACUGGGGCUAAUACCGGAUAGGAGCUCCUGCUGCAUGGUGGGGGUUGGAAAGUUUCGGCGGUUGGGGAUGGACUCGCGGCUUAUCAGCUUGUUGGUGGGGUAGUGGCUUACCAAGGCUUUGACGGGUAGCCGGCCUGAGAGGCUGACCGGCCACAUUGGGACUGAGAUACGGCCCAGACUCCUACGGGAGGCAGCAGUGGGGAAUAUUGCACAAUGGGCGGAAGCCUGAGGCAGCAACGCCGCGUGCGGGAUGACGGCCUUCGGGUUGUAAACCGCUUUCGCCUGUGACGAAGCGUGAGUGACGGUAAUGGGUAAAGAAGCACCGGCUAACUACGUG
rnacentral:rRNA from 1 species